AGAAAGGCGCUUGAACAUGCAGAACGUGCUCACAGUGCUGGAGCUCUUGCCCUGCUGUUUGUAUGGACUCCAUAAAAAGGGCACUGCUACUGCAAGUACAGAUGGACACUGGAUUUUGUGGAUGCUCCUUGGACACACUGGAAUGCACCUUGGGCAGCCCGUGGAUCAUUUUCCCCAGUAUGAAGCAUGGGAGGAGCUGGAAAAUGAACUCAUGAGCCAGUUGAGCCAGCACAACAAGCUGGAGCCAGG
rnacentral:lncRNA from 1 species